UACACGGACUAUGGUGGGCAUUCAGAUAUAUUGCAAUUAAUGUGUUAUUUUACAGAUGAAGACCCUGUAACUAAAGUGGGUGGUGAUGAAAGUUGCAGUUUAGAUGAACUUCCUGAAACCCUCAUAGGACAAAAUGUUGCAGAACAGUGUAUCUUCCACGUGUUCCAUAUGUGGAAGAGGCUUUAAUUACAUACAGCGAGGACAAUCUACUGGGAGAAGGGACAUUUGGCAAGGUAUAUAGAGGUUCUUUUCAUGGUACUCCAGCAGCUGUUAAAAGGAUCGUGUGUGGCCAACAAGGGAUGGAGGACAGCGACAUUCAUCAUGAGAUAAAUGUUUCACUGAGACUGUCUCACCCCAACAUCGUCAGACUAAUGGCAGUUGCC